rnacentral:rRNA from 1 species
UACGUAGGGAGCAAGCGUUGUUCGGAAUGACUGGGCGUAAAGAGCGCGUAGGCGGGAUAGCAAGUCAGAUGUGAAAUCCGCGGGCUCAACCCGCGAACUGCAUUUGAAACUGCUUCCCUUGAGUAUCGGAGAGGUCAUCGGAAUUCCUAGUGUAGCGGUGAAAUGCGUAGAUAUUAGGAAGAACACCAGUGGCGAAGGCGGAUGACUGGACGACAACUGACGGUGAGGCGCGAAAGCGUGGGGAGCAAACAGG